rnacentral:rRNA from 1 species
AUUGAACGCUGGCGGAAUGCUUUACACAUGCAAGUCGAACGGCAGCACGGACUUCGGUCUGGUGUCGAGUGGCGAACGGGUGAGUAAUGUAUCGGAACGUGCCCAGUCGUGGGGGAUAACGUAGUGAAAAUUACGCUAAUACCGCAUACGAUCUAUGGAUGAAAGCGGGGGAUCGCAAGACCUCGCGCGAUUGGAGCGGCCGAUAUCAGAUUAGGUAGUUGGUGGGGUAAAGGCCCACCAAGCCAACGAUCUGUAGCUGGUCUGAGAGGACGACCAGCCACACUGGAACUGCGACACGGUCCAGACUCCUACGGGAGGCCUCAGUGGGGAAUUUUGGACAAUGGGCGAAAGCCUGAUCCAGCCAUUCCGCGUGCAGGAUGAAGGCCCUCGGGUUGUAAACUGCUUUUGUACAGAACGAAAAGGUUUCUACUAAUACUAGGGGCUCAUGACGGUACUGUAAGAAUAAGCACCGGCUAACUACGUGCCAGCCGCCGCAGUAA